rnacentral:misc_RNA from 1 species
UACGUAGGGUGCGAGCGUUAAUCGGAAUUACUGGGCGUAAAGCGUGCGCAGGCGGUUGUGCAAGACAGGUGUGAAAUCCCCGGGCUUAACCUGGGAAUUGCAUUUGUGACUGCUUGGCUAGAGUACAGUAGAGGAGAGGGGAAUUCCCGGUGUAGCGGUGAAAUGCGUAGAGAUGUGGAGGAACACCAGUGGCGAAGGCGACUUUCUGGUCUGUAACUGACGCUGAGGCGCGAAAGCGUGGGGAGCAAACAGG